UACGAAGGGGGCUAGCGUUGCUCGGAAUCACUGGGCGUAAAGGGUGCGUAGGCGGGUCUUUAAGUCAGGGGUGAAAUCCUGGAGCUCAACCCCGGAACUGCCUUUGAUACUGCGAAUCUCGAGUCCGGAAGAGGUGAGUGGAAUUCCUAGUGUAGAGGUGAAAUUCGUAGAUAUUAGGAAGAACACCAGUGGCGAAGGCGGCUCACUGGUCCGGUACUGACGCUGAGGUGCGAAAGCGUGGGGAGCAAACAGG
rnacentral:rRNA from 1 species